rnacentral:tmRNA from 1 species
GGGGAUGUUUUGGUUUUGACAGCGCUGAUGUCGGACGGUAAGCAUGCCGGGCGUUGGGACCUUGCCCGUAAAUCUCAGAUCCCGAAAAACUAGUUGGCAACAACAAUUACGCACUCGCUGCUUAAUCUGGCCAAGCCGAUAAGCUUAAUCCGCGCUGCCUAGGCUGCAGCGCCGACGAGUAUCCCUCGGACUUUACGCCCGCUCUGUUCCGGCCCAGGGGUAUCAUUCAAGCGGGAUGCUCCGGCAGACGUCUCUAACACCGGCUAAGAUUCAGAGACUAAGGACUCGGUGGCCCGUCUUCCGGCAGCCCCCUCCCGACAACCAAAGGAAGAAUAAGCAUGUAGAAAGCCGCCUGGUGCGACGUUUGGACGGCGGUUCGAGUCCGCCCAUCUCCAC